ACUUUAAUAGUUUAAAAAAAAUAUCAGCUUGUGGCGCUAAAGAUGUAAAGCUUUACUUAAAGUA
rnacentral:tRNA from 1 species